GACGAACGCUGGCGGCGUGCCUAAUACAUGCAAGUAGGACGCAGUUGCGAACGGGUGAGUAACGCGUAGGUAACUACCUAUUAGAGGGGGAUAACUAUUGGAAACGAUAGCUAAUACCGCAUAUUAGUAGAUGGACUUGCGUUGUAUUAGGUAGUAGGUAGGGUAAUGGCCUACCUAGGCAAAGAUACAUAGCCGAGCUGAGAGGGGUGUCGGCCAAACUGGGACAGAGGCACGGCCCAGUAUCCUACAGGAGGCAGCAGGAGGGAAUCUUCGGCAAUGGUGGGAACCCUGAGCGAGCAACGCCGCGUGAGUGAAGGAGGUUUUCGGAUCGUAAAGCUCUGUUGUUCAGGAAGCGGUACUUAACCAGAAAGGGACGGCUAACUACGUGCCAGCAGCCGCGGUAAUAC
rnacentral:rRNA from 1 species